CCUACGGGGCGCAGCAGUGAGGAAUAUUGGUCAAUGGACGAGAGUCUGAACCAGCCAAGUAGCGUGAAGGAUGACUGCCCUAUGGGUUGUAAACUUCUUUUAUAUGGGAAUAAAAUGUUCCACGUGUGGGAUUUUGUAUGUACCAUAUGAAUAAGGAUCGGCUAACUCCGUGCCAGCAGCCGCGGUAAUACGGAGGAUCCGAGCGUUAUCCGGAUUUAUUGGGUUUAAAGGGAGCGUAGGUGGAUUGUUAAGUCAGUUGUGAAAGUUUGCGGCUCAACCGUAAAAUUGCAGUUGAAACUGGCAGUCUUGAGUACAGUAGAGGUGGACGGAAUUCGUGGUGUAGCGGUGAAAUGCUUAGAUAUCACGAAGAACUCCGAUUGCGAAGGCAGUUCACUGGACUGCAACUGACACUGAGGCUCGAAAGUGUGGGUAUCAAACAGGAUUAGAUACCCCUGUAGUC
rnacentral:rRNA from 1 species